rnacentral:rRNA from 1 species
AGGGGCACCUUGCUUCCUGGAUUAGUGGCGAACGGGUGAGUAACACGUGAGUAACCUGCCCUUGACUCUGGGAUAAGCGUUGGAAACGACAUCUAAUACCGGAUAUGACCUGUGACGGCAUCGUCUGCAGGUGGAAAGAAUUUUGGUCAAGGAUGGACUCGCGGCCUAUCAGGUAGUUGGUGAGGUAAUGGCUCACCAAGCCGACGACGGGUAGCCGGCCUGAGAGGGUGACCGGCCACACUGGGACUGAGACACGGCCCAGACUCCUACGGGAGGCAGCAGUGGGGAAUAUUGCACAAUGGGCGAAAGCCUGAUGCAGCAACGCCGCGUGAGGGAUGACGGCCUUCGGGUUGUAAACCUCUUUUAGUUGGGAAGAAGGGAGCUUGCUCUUGACGGUACCAGCAGAAAAAGCACCGGCUAACUACGUGCCAGCAGCCGCGGUAAUACGUAGGGUGCAAGCGUUGUCCGGAAUUAUUGGGCGUAAAGAGCUCGUAGGCGGUUUGUCGCGUCUGCUGUGAAAUCUGGGGGCUCAACCCCCAGCCUGCAGUGGGUACGGGCAGACUAGAGUGCGGUAGGGGAGAUUGGAAUUCCUGGUGUAGCGGUGGAAUGCGCAGAUAUCAGGAGGAACACCGAUGGCGAAGGCAGAUCUCUGGGCCGUUACUGACGCUGAGGAGCGAAAGCAUGGGGAGCGAACAGGAUUAGAUACCCUGGUAGUCCAUGCCGUAAACGUUGGGAACUAGAUGUAGGGGCCAUUCCACGGUUUCUGUGUCGCAGCUAACGCAUUAAGUUCCCCGCCUGGGGAGUACGGCCGCAAGGCUAAAACUCAAAGGAAUUGACGGGGGCCCGCACAAGCGGCGGAGCAUGCGGAUUAAUUCGAUGCAACGCGAAGAACCUUACCAAGGCUUGACAUAUACCGGAAACGUCCAGAGAUGGUCGCCCCGCAAGGUCGGUAUACAGGUGGUGCAUGGUUGUCGUCAGCUCGUGUCGUGAGAUGUUGGGUUAAGUCCCGCAACGAGCGCAACCCUCGUUCUAUGUUGCCAGCACAUUAUGGUGGGAACUCAUAGGAGACUGCCGGGGUCAACUCGGAGGAAGGUGGGGAUGACGUCAAAUCAUCAUGCCCCUUAUGUCUUGGGCUUCACGCAUGCUACAAUGGCCGAUACAAAGGGCUGCAAUACCGCGAGGUGGAGCGAAUCCCAAAAAGUCGGUCUCAGUUCGGAUUGAGGUCUGCAACUCGACCUCAUGAAGUCGGAGUCGCUAGUAAUCGCAGAUCGGGCAACGCUGCGGUGAAUACGUUCCCGGGCCUUGUACACACCGCCCGUCAAGUCAUGAAAGUCGGUAACACCCGAAGCCGGGGCCCAAC